rnacentral:rRNA from 1 species
CCGUCACACCAUGGGAGUGGGUUGCAAAAGAAGUAGGUAGCUUAACCUUCGGGAGGGCGCUUACCACUUUGUGAUUCAUGACUGGGGUGAAGUCGUAACAAGGUAACCGUAGGGGAACCUGCGGUUGGAUCACCUCCUUACCUAAAGA